rnacentral:rRNA from 1 species
GCUUAACCGGAGAAGUGCAUCGGAAACUGGGUAACUUGAGUGCAGAAGAGGACAGUGGAACUCCAUGUGUAGCGGUGGAAUGCGUAGAUAUAUGGAAGAACACCAGUGGCGAAGGCGGCUGUCUAGUCUGUAACUGACGCUGAGGCUCGAAAGCAUGGGUAGCGAACAGGAUUAGAUACCCUGGUAGUCCAUGCCGUAAACGAUGAGUGCUAGGUGUUGGAGGGUUUCCGCCCUUCAGUGCCGCAGCUAACGCAUUAAGCACUCCGCCUGGGGAGUACGACCGCAAGGUUGAAACUCAAAGGAAUUGACGGGGGCCCGCACAAGCGGUGGAGCAUGUGGUUUAAUUCGAAGCUACGCGAAGAACCUUACCAGGUCUUGACAUCUUCUGUCAAUCUUAGAGAUAAGACGUUCCCUUCGGGGACAGAAUGACAGGUGGUGCAUGGUUGUCGUCAGCUCGUGUCGUGAGAUGUUGGGUUAAGUCCCGCAACGAGCGCAACCCUUAUUAUCAGUUGCCAGCAUUCAGUUGGGCACUCUGGUGAGACUGCCGGUGACAAACCGGAGGAAGGUGGGGAUGACGUCAAAUCAUCAUGCCCCUUAUGACCUGGGGCUACACACGUGCUACAAUGGACGGUACAACG